CCGCAGGUAGCGUAGCGGCGAGCGCAGCUGACUGUAAAUCAGCCACACCAGAAACAUCGUGAGUUCGAGUCUCACCCUGCGGA
rnacentral:tRNA from 1 species